AGGCCCUUUUAUCGGGAUUUGAACCGAUGAC
rnacentral:tRNA from 1 species